rnacentral:rRNA from 1 species
CAGUCGCCGCGGUAAUACGAAGGGUGCAAGCGUUAAUCGGGAUUACUGGGCGUAAAGCGUGCGUAGGUGGUGGUUUAAGUCCGUUGUGAAAGCCCUGGGCUCAACCUGGGAAUUGCAGUGGAUACUGGGUCACUAGAGUGUGGUAGAGGAUAGUGGAAUUUCCGGUGUAGCAGUGAAAUGCGUAGAGAUCGGGAGGAACAUCAGUGGCGAAGGCGGCCAUCUGGGACAACACUGACGCUGAGGCACGAAAGCGUGGGGAGCAAACAGGAUUAGAUACCCGUGUAGUCCCUGUCUCUUAUAC